rnacentral:rRNA from 1 species
CGUGUAGGCGGGAAUUUAAGUCAGAUGUGAAAGCCCAUGGCUCAACUGUGGGACUGCAUCUGAAACUAAGUUUCUUGAGUGCUGGAGAGGAAAGCGGAAUUCCUAGUGUAGCGGUGAAAUGCGUAGAUAUUAGGAGGAACACCAGUGGCGAAGGCGGCUUUCUGGACAGUAACUGACGCUGAGGCGCGAAAGUGUGGGGAGCAAACAGGAUUAGAUACCCUGGUAGUCCACACUGUAAACGAUGGAUACUAGGUGUAGGAGGUAUCGACCCCUUCUGUGCCGCAGUUAACACAAUAAGUAUCCCACCUGGGGAGUACGGCCGCAAGGUUGAA